AUGGGUGCUCCUCAGCGCCUGCGCCAUGGCCUUGGUCCACUACACCCUCUCCUGCAGCCAGGUAAUUACCCCUUGGACCCUGUACAUUCCGAUCGAGUUUCUGACCGACCGAUCUAUCACGCGCCGGUCCUGUUCGUCGUCUCCAUAUGCAUGCAGGCCAUGACCUGCAAGUGCGAUGCGCUGACGGACACCAAGGCCGCCUGCUUCAGCGCCCUCUGGAUCGGGACUCUGUGCUGCGCUGGAUCCCAGGCAACCGCGGCGGCGCUGGCGCUGCUGCUCCCACGCCGGCCCCGCUGGGUCACCCGUGAACUGGCCAACUUCGCGGUCGCGGUCGCCAGCGCCGGCCACUGCAUGUUCCGCGGCGCCAUCUACAUCCUCCACCCAGGAGUCUACUUCGCACUGGCCUCGAUCCUGUUCAUGCUGGGCGACAUCAUCUGCGGCAUGGCUCUCUACCUGGUAGGUGAGGACUGA
rnacentral:rRNA from 1 species